UGCAAGUCUGGUGCCAGCAGCCGCGGUAAUUCCAGCUCCAAUAGCGUAUAUUAAAGUUGUUGCAGUUAAAAAGCUCGUAGUUGAAUCUUGGGCUUGGUCGGCCGGUCCGCCUUUUUGGCGAGUACUGGACCCAACCGAGCCCUUCCUUCUGGCUAACCUUUCGCCCUUGUGGUGUUUGGCGAACCAGGACUUUUACUUUGAAAAAAUUAGAGUGUUCAAAGCAGGCCUUUGCUCGAAUAUAUUAGCAUGGAAUAAUAGAAUAGGACGUUAUGGUUCUAUUUUGUUGGUUUCUAGGACCAUCGUAAUGAUUAAUAGGGACGGUCGGGGGCAUCAGCAUUCAGUUGUCAGAGGUGAAAUUCUUGGAUUACCUGAAGACUAACUACUGCGAAAGCAUUUGCCAAA
rnacentral:rRNA from 1 species